rnacentral:rRNA from 1 species
AGUGAACGCUGGCGGUAGGCCUAACACAUGCAAGUCGAACGGCAGCACAGUAAGAGCUUGCUCUUACGGGUGGCGAGUGGCGGACGGGUGAGGAAUACAUCGGAAUCUACUUUUUCGUGGGGGAUAACGUAGGGAAACUUACGCUAAUACCGCAUACGACCUACGGGUGAAAGCAGGGGAUCUUCGGACCUUGCGCGAUUGAAUGAGCCGAUGUCGGAUUAGCUAGUUGGCGGGGUAAAGGCCCACCAAGGCGACGAUCCGUAGCUGGUCUGAGAGGAUGAUCCGCCACACUGGAACUGAGACACGGUCCAGACUCCUACGGGAGGCAGCAGUGGGGAAUAUUGGACAAUGGGCGCAAGCCUGAUCCAGCCAUACCGCGUGGGUGAAGAAGGCCUUCGGGUUGUAAAGCCCUUUUGUUGGGAAAGAAAAGCAGCAGGUUAAUACCCCGCUGUUCCGACGGUACCCAAAGAAUAAGCACCGGCUAACUUCGUG